rnacentral:rRNA from 1 species
CAUGCAAGUCCGACGUGAAAGGGGAGCAAUCCCCCGGUAGGGUGGCAAACGGGUGAGUAAGACAUGGGUGAUCUGCCCUGGAGAUGGGGAUAUCCCUCCGAAAGGGGGGGCAAUACCGAAUAGUAUCCGGUUCCGUGAAGGGGACCGGGGAAAGGGAGGCCUCUGGCACAAGCUUCCGCUCCUGGAUGAGCCCAUGGCCCAUCAGCUAGUUGGUAGGGUAAAGGCCUACCAAGGCGACGACGGGUAGCUGGUCUGAGAGGACAACCAGCCACACUGGCACUGAGACACGGGCCAGACUCCUACGGGAGGCAGCAGUGGGGAAUAUUGCGCAAUGGGGGCAACCCUGACGCAGCAACGCCGCGUGUGGGAAGAAGGCUUUCGGGUUGUAAACCACUUUUGCCCGGGACGAAAAGGGAUGUCAGAACACGGCAUUUCGAUGACGGUACCGGGAGAAUAAGCCACGGCUAACUCUGUGCCAGCAGCC